rnacentral:rRNA from 1 species
AAAGAAAAAAGAAAAGAAUGAUAGAAGUUUUUCAUUAAAUCCUGACUAAUUUCGUGCCAGCAGUCGCGGUAAUACGUGAAGGAUAAGCGUAAUUCAUAAUAACUAGGUAUUAAGUGUCUGUAGGCGGCGAGAGCUAGAGUCUGACUAGGAAAUUGAAAUUUGAUAAGGAAGGAUAAAAUCUGUUGAUAUAUUAAAGAAUACUAUGCGAAGGCAUUUUUCUAUGAAGGACUGACGCUAAGAGACUAAAGUGUGGGUAGCGAAAAGGAUUA